UCGGCAAUGGGCGAAAGCCUGACCGAGCGACGCCGCGUGAGCGAUGAAGGCCAUUAGGUUGUAAAGCUCUGUCGAGGGGGAGCAAGCCGCAAGGUUGAGCGAUCCCUGGAGGAAGCACGGGCUAAGUUCGUGCCAGCAGCCGCGGUAAGACGAACCGUGCGAACGUUGUUCGGAAUCAUUGGGCUUAAAGGGUGCGUAGGCGGGUGUUCAAGUCCGGGGUGAAAGCCUCCAGCUCAACUGGAGAAGCGCCUCGGAUACUGUUCAUCUCGAGAGAGGUAGGGGCACAUGGAACUUCCGGUGGAGCGGUGAAAUGCGUAGAGAUCGGAAGGAACGCCGGUGGCGAAAGCGAUGUGCUGGAUCUUUUCUGACGCUGAGGCACGAAAGCUAGGGUAGCGAACGGGAUUAGAUACCCCGGUAGUCCUAGCCCUAAACGAUGAGUACUAGAUUGUGGACUGACAUGGGUUCACAGUCGAAGCAAAAGUAUUAAGUACUCCGCCUGGGGAGUAUGGUCGCAAGGCUGAAACUCAAAGGA
rnacentral:rRNA from 1 species